rnacentral:rRNA from 1 species
UGCCGCGUGUGUGAGAAGGCCUUCGGGUUGUAAAGCACUUUCAGUCGUGAGGAAGGUAGUGUAGUUAAUAGCUGCAUUAUUUGACGUUAGCGACAGAAGAAGCACCGGCUAACUCCGUGCCAGCAGCCGCGGUAAUACGGAGGGUGCGAGCGUUAAUCGGAAUUACUGGGCGUAAAGCGCAUGCAGGUGGUUUGUUAAGUCAGAUGUGAAAGCCCGGGGCUCAACCUCGGAAUUGCAUUUGAAACUGGCAGACUAGAGUACUGUAGAGGGGGGUAGAAUUUCAGGUGUAGCGGUGAAAUGCGUAGAGAUCUGAAGGAAUACCGGUGGCGAAGGCGGCCCCCUGGACAGAUACUGACACUCAGAUGCGAAAGCGUGGGGAGCAAACAGGAUUAGAUACCCCU